rnacentral:rRNA from 1 species
GUGGGGAAUAUUGGACAAUGGGCGCAAGCCUGAUCCAGCCAUGCCGCGUGAGUGAUGAAGGCCUUCGGGUUGUAAAGCUCUUUAGUCCACGAAUAUAAUGACUGUAGUGGAAGAAUAAGCCCCGGCUAACUUCGUGCCAGCAGCCGCGGUAAUACGAAGGGGGCGAGCGUUAUUCGGAAUCACUGGGCGUAAAGCGUGCGUAGGCUGUUUUGUAAGUCAGAAGUGAAAGCCCAGGGCUUAACCCUGGAAUUGCUUUUGAAACUACAAGACUCGAAUUCGGGAGAGGAUAGCGGAAUUGUCAGUGUAGCAGUGAAAUGCGUAGAUAUUGACAGGAACACCAGUGGCGCAAGCGGCUAUCUGGACCGAUAUUGACGCUGAGGCACGAAAGCGUGGGGAGCAAACAGGAUUAGAUACCCCUGUAGUCC